AAAAAAAAAAACUAGAAAAAGACGUAACUUUAUUUUAGUAAAAAACAAGUUUUUCGUUAACAAUGACGGUUUAUUGUUGCUCACUGAUAAUAAUUAAAUUAUAUAAUAUGCGUACGGCCUUCCUUUCCGACUUUCUACCUACAACAGCGGCGUCUAGUGCCGGGUUAAGGAAGGCAAAGGGGUAACUGCCCCGGGUGGCACAUUUUUAGGGGAGGCAAUGUUUUGGUG